rnacentral:rRNA from 1 species
CACGUAUGGGGCAAGCGUUGUCCGGAUUUAUUGGGCGUAAAGAGCUCGUAGGUGGUUCGGUAAGUCGGGUGUGAAACCUCCAGGCUCAACCUGGAGACGCCACCCGAUACUGCUGUGACUGGAGUCCGGUAGGGGAGCGUGGAAUUCCUGGUGUAGCGGUGAAAUGCGCAGAUAUCAGGAGGAACACCAGCGGCGAAGGCGGCGCUCUGGGCCGGUACUGACACUGAGGAGCGAAAGCGUGGGUAGCAAACAGG